AGAGAUGUGGCUGAGAGGUUUAAAGCACUCCCCUGCUAAGGGAGAAUUCAUAUUAAUUUGAAUCGAGGGUUCAAAUCCCUCCAUCUCUG
rnacentral:tRNA from 1 species